GCCAGAAUCUGUGGAAGCGUAGGCUUGCGAACCCCGCCAGGGCCGAAAGGCAGCAACGGCACCAUGACCUCGUUUGCUGCAGAUUCUGGUUUU
rnacentral:SRP_RNA from 1 species